rnacentral:misc_RNA from 1 species
GAUUCAGCUAUUGUCCUUAAUUUUGUUGUAUUUGGAAUGUAACUGAAUUCAUUGGAUUUAAUUAAUUUGAAGAUAUUAUUUCAUAGACUAUAAAAUAUUGAAUUUAAUAACAUUUCUAGAAUAACAUUUUGGUGGAAUUAACUUAACAUUUAAUAACAAUGACUUUCUAAAUUCAACUUGAUCAUUAUUUGCAAGUAAUUUAAGUGCUGUUGGUCU